rnacentral:lncRNA from 1 species
UAAACCCUUUUAAGGAAUAGAUCUCAUACAUAAAAUUUUAAAUUAGAGAAAAAAUAUCGUGAUGAUCCUUAUCUUUUAAUAUUUAAAUUGCAGCAUACUAAGUGAUAUUGAUGUCGAGGCACAGCUAAGCUUACUGAUUUUUAAUUUUUUGUUAUGAGUUUCUCUUUUUUUGUUGAUCAGUUAGUUUAUAAUAUUUUUUAAAUAUAUAUUUUGAUAAUUGUCUCCCACAAUUUGUUUCCCUUUGUGAUCGACAGAUUCUCUUCAUUCUCUAGUUGAAUUUUAAUCACCAAUCAAGAUUUAAUUCAGUUUCCUCGGUGAUUCCUUCCCAUUCUCCAGCUGAGGUUUGUCAAAUCGUGAUUUCUCUAGAUUCUUCUUAUCUAUCAUGUCCUUUCGAAUCCGAUUCAGAUUACUUACAGAGAAAAAGAAAGUACAUGAAAGAUCAGAAGAAAGAAUGUGAUUUCGAUCGAUUAUCCUGUUUCCUCGUCAAUUUUGUCUCAUUCUACAAUUGCAGUUUUUCAAAUCGUGGUUUCUCUUAGCUUUUUUUUUAAUUGAAUUUCACAGUUUUGUGUAUUUGAAUGUCUCAUUUUACAUAAGGUUAUUUGGGAGUGAAAGGUUUGAGUUCUGCAAUGAGCCUAGUGUUCACUAGCUUUUUCAAUUGCCAAU